GACAGAGGGUGCAAACGUUGCUCGGAAUUACUGGGCGUAAAGCGCGUGUAGGCGGUUCCGCAAGUCAGGUGUGAAAGCCCAGGGCUCAACCCUGGAAGUGCACUUGAUACUACGGAGCUUGAGUACUGAAGAGGAGAGCGGAAUUCCCGGUGUAGAGGUGAAAUUCGUAGAUAUCGGGAGGAACACCAGUGGCGAAGGCGGCUCUCUGGGCAGAUACUGACGCUGAGGAGCGAAAGUGUGGGGAGCGAACAGG
rnacentral:rRNA from 1 species